GCCAGUGUGGUGUAGUGGUUUGCAUGUUGGACUCUCACUCCAAAAGACCAGGGUUCAAAUCAUGUCUUUGCCA